UACGUAGGUGGCAAGCGUUGUCCGGAUUUACUGGGCGUAAAGAGCGCGCAGGCGGUCGGAUAAGUCGAGUGUGAAAGCCCCUGGCUCAACCAGGGAGGGUCAUUCGAUACUGUUCGACUCGAAGGCAGGAGAGGGAAGUGGAAUUCCGGGUGUAGUGGUGAAAUGCGUAGAUAUCCGGAGGAACACCAGUGGCGAAGGCGACUCGCUGGACAAGUAUUGACGCUGAGGUGCGAAAGCGUGGG
rnacentral:rRNA from 1 species